GUGGAGAAGGGUGAGGGGGAGCAGCACUUUCCCCCUUUCAGCAACUGCACCUCUGCCUGAGAUGAGUCUCAUUUUACCUGUACAGUAUUAAAAAAAAAAAAAAAACACCACCGUACUCCCUGCACCAACCACCCAACUGUUCCGACUUUCUUUAAAAGCAGCUGCUAAAGAAAAGCGGGAAAGACUGGGGCGGAGGGGAGACAAAUAAAUAAAUAAAAGCCAGCGCGAGGGGGAAGGGGAGAGCAGGGAGAGGGAGCGCCCGGGACGCGAGACAGCGGCGGGUUCAAUUAGCUAAACAAAGAAAUCAUGGCGGACUGUUUACGCUGGGCCGCGUCGGGCUGCGCGGACGCCGGCCCGAGCCGCCGCGGCCCCUGGAGUCGCAGAGCUGCCCCGCGCCCUGGCCGGAUUCUUGAGACUAUUGCUUUGCUGAAAACAUUUGACAGCCACUCUGGAAUGUGACACUUAAGAUGAAUUCUAGCCCAGGAAUGCAGGUGGAGGGCAUCUGAAGUGUUGUGAAAGCAGUGGCAUGGAGAUGUCUUCUUGCACCAGCGACUGGCUUUUUUACAGACACAGAGUUAUCAGAAGAACAUCUUUGCACAUUUGAAAAUUGGAGAUGGUGAUUCAUCUGUUCAGGAGACCUGCUGUUUAUUCAACCACGGGGCAAUUGUUGGUUUGUGGGCUUCUUGGAGCAAUUUUGCAGCACUGUCCCAAAGGUGACCCUCACCUCAUCACCUCUACUCUGGGUGAUGGAAAGCUACUGGAGAGUCUAUACAAGAUUAUCCCACACAGAUCUGUUGGAAUUACUCCGUGAUGAUUUCAAAGAAAAACUUCUUCUCUAAACUUUCUUAUCCCAAGGGGAGGACAUUGAAUCUUGCUCCAGAUGGGUCUGUUAUAUAACCACAACCAGGAAUAUGGAGUUAUCCCAGAGCUGACUGGGCCAGAAAACAUGGAUAACACAAUGCAAAUCUGACCCUAUUGCUGCCGGAGUGAAUCCAGAAGCCCUAAUAUACCCUGAUCAUGCACAGACAGUAGUACUACAGUGCUGGAGGUGCCUGGAGAGAGUGGAAGAUCUGCCCACCACAGCCUGUCUCAGGCCUGCUGGUGACCAUCCAUGCAUAUCACCACCCAGAAGCUCCUCAUUCUUACCUGUCAGGCAGACAGGACCUCCCAUUGCCUCCUCUACAUUCCUGUCCUUUUUUGAAGCAUUAUGGUCCUUGUGUGAAGCUGGGAAUGGGGAAGUUCAAGAGACCACCUGCAAAAAGGACUGUGCAAAGCAUCUUCUCAAUAACCUUGCCAACUCCCUGCAGCUGCCACAGGUCACCAAGUUAUCUGAGGGGUUUGGUCCCCAGACCUUCCUAACCCAUCCACAAGACUCAGCCCAGAAAACACGAUAAAGAGCCCAAAGAUUCAAAGGAAGAUUUUGAACUUGAUGAUGGAGGAAUAAUACUUCUUGGAGAAAUGAAGAUAAAGAUUGUUUCAUUCUUGGUACACCUGAGUGUCCAGUACCCAGUGAAUGUGAUAAGAAGUGGGCUGCUUACAAAGGGUACCUAGGCAGUGACAUCUGCACCUCUCGGAACCAGAUGCCACUGUGGACAUUUUCUCAACCUUUUUCCACUGUGCACACAGCUUGGCGUCCUGGCAGGCCUUUCCCCUAAUUUUUAACCUUCAGAUAUUCUAAGAGGGAGCUGAACAUAUGGUACAAACUGAAUAAAUGGGAGCAGAUGACUGCAAAGAGAACGUGAUUUAAUGUCAGGAAGAUAGACAAGUAGGUCUUUCUUAAAUUGAUAUGUGGUUGUAGGACCAUUGAAUCAUUUCUAUGUGAAUGUUCCUUCCUAGAUUUAGUAAAAUACUUCAAUUUGUGAGAAAUCCCAUGUCAAUAACAUAUAAACCGAGGAAAGCUUUAAGAUCUGUGCAGCUCCCAGAACAUCCUUAGAUUGUCUCUGCUUGCUCUUGUCACUUCCUCAAUGCCAGUCAUUCUUGUACAUUUCUUCCAUUGUAUUUUUCAUGAAGUAAACACAGUUAUUACCACAGAUUAGCAGACAAAUCGAGGCAGGGCUUCUCUUUUCUCCAUGAAGUUCUUCUGGACUUGUUUAUAUUGUAACAUCUUUGAAGGUGAGACACAUUCUAGUCUACAUUUGUUGGUACCUGGCACAUAUUGAGUACAUGGCCAAUUUUUUGACAGUAUCAAUUAAUAGUCAAACACGGAUGAAUGAAAAAGUUGAUGUUUUGUGAAGCCCUCAAUGAUUUAGAGAACAUUUAGAAAUGAAUCCAUUUCAUUUCCAAAGAAAAUUUUGCAUUAAGUUUUUUUUUUAAUUCUCCCAAGUGAGAUUUGGGGAAAUUUCAUAUGAUAAACUCUUUACAUUAUCUUGCAGUAAUUCCACAGAAAUCUCUAUUUAUGUAAACACAGUAAAUGCAUCAUAACACUAGAAUAAGUGUACAAAUACUGCAUGUCAAAUUAGGUUAUAAUCACUUUCAAGGGACGUGAUUUCCUAGCUAAACAGAUUCCUUUACAUUUUGCAAAAUAAAAAAUAAGUGAAAAUAACUAUAUAAAAUCAGGCUUACAGCUGGACAGAACUUCUUGGCAAUGGUCCAGACACUGAGCAGGGAAAACCCCUACAGCUGAGGAGUGUGUAGGGACUCUCGGGAUGACUUUGCAGGCUUGGCCUGGAGAGCUGCUCCUUUGGCUGAUUCCUGAGUGUGUACCUGUCCCUGAUGACCUGUAGGGAGAGAAGCUACAUUAACAUUUAAAAUGAGACUUGCUGUGAGAGGAUUAGGGGGUAGUGGGAGCAGAGUGGAAAUUUGUUUGGUUAAAGGGAAUAAAAAAUGUAAUUUGACAUUUCACCCUUAGGUAAAAAAGCAUGAUAGAGAAAGUCAGGGGUCUUGUAACUAAAAAAGUAAAUAGUUGAAGCUAACAUUGGAAUUGUUGAACAUUAGGUCAGGGUUUGAUUGCCAUGGAUCCUGUGGUCCAACCCGUGGAAUACAGAUGGGGAAAUGCUGGCUGCAGUGCAAAAAGCAGGGCUAGGUCUUGAGAUCAAGAAGUCUGCCUCCACAAACUGAUGUAUAUCUAUGAAAUAAUUGAAGCCUGUUCUUUGAAGAGAGUGAAUAGUUUAACAACUACUCAUUCUGGUGCAUAUCUUUAAAAAAUACAUUCUACAUCUCUCCAACACUUUCUACAACACUCUCUUAUUUUGAUUCCACAAGGGUAUAAUUGUAAGCCUCAGUUGCAAUAGAAUACUACAUAACUCAGUGGUAUUCUCUGUAGCCUAUUGGUAAUGCAGAGCUUUCACUUAGCUUCAAUAAAUUGUGUGUUUGCAUUUGGUUAUCUUUCCUAUGUUCCCUUAACUGUGUUCAUGUGCUUAUUUUUGUUGAUUUCAAGAAGUGACUAAAAUGGGGGAUUUUUUAAAAUCUGUUAAUUUUGACUUGAAGGUAGCUCACAAUUCUAUAUGUAUGAAGUGUUUCUGUUUUAGUUUAACUGAUACUAAUUUUUACUCAAAAUACAGUUGUUGAACACAUUUUCUAUAUACUGUGCAAAAGUUUCCCUCCACAUUCCAUUGGCUGAACUGCUGUGACCAGGGGUUGGCAAACUAUGCCCUGAAAGCUGAAACUAGUUCAGUGCCUGAUCUUGUAAAUAAAGUUUUAUUGAAAUACAAUCAUGCUAAUUUGUUUGUGUAUCAUCUAUGGAUGUUUUUGCACUCAAAUGGCAGAGUUAAGUACAUGG
ensembl:lncRNA